UCCGGGUUGGACCCGGCGGUCCCGCCAGACAUGGUAACUGGCAGCGAGGGUUGCGCUCGUUGCGGGACUUGACCCAACACCUCACGACACGAGCUGACGACAGCCAUGCAGCACCUGUGUUCCGAUUCCCGAAGGCACUCCCGCAUCUCUGCAGGAUUCCGGACACGUCAAGGCCAGGUAAGGUUCUUCGCGUUGCAUCGAAUUAAACCACAUACUCCACCGCUUGUGCGGGCCCCCGUCAAUUCCUUUGAGUUUUAACCUUGCGGCCGUACUCCCCAGGCGGGAUGCUUAAUGCGUUAGCUGCGCCACCGAAUAGCAAGCUAUCCGACGGCUAGCAUCCAUAGUUUACGGCGUGGACUAC
rnacentral:misc_RNA from 1 species